rfam:Caenorhabditis brenneri strain PB2801 C_brenneri-6.0.1_Cont18.50, whole genome shotgun sequence.
CCCCAUUUCUCGAUCUCUUUGGUUGUACAAAGUGGUAUGGCAAUUUCAUUAAAAAUGCUCAUACCGCUUUUCAGCUGAAGGAAUCGUGUUUGUGGGUA